ensembl:lincRNA
UCUGAUUCCUUUGACAUGAAACCCUGAAGGAUCUGCCAGUGGUUUGGAAUACGCUGAAGGGUAGCAGAGUGGCCUCAGGCUUGGCUGGGACCUGAGUGAUUCUCAGGGGCACAACUUGCAGGAAUUCUGCUCUUAGCUGAAGUAAAGUGACAUUGCCUGCUGCUGAAAAGGCUCAUCUGCUUAAUGCUUCUCCAAUAUGUCUUCUGAAAAAGAUUUGCCAACAGGAUCCUUGUCUUCUCAUCCUGCCAGAACAACUUCUGAACAUUCCACACAGACCUUGUCAUCAGAGGGAGAGGAUACUGAUGUGGAGCUAGACGAGAAGAAUCUUCAGGAUGAAGUUCCAUUCAGCAGAGAGCAAGAGUCUCUGGAGGAGAAGGAAUAUUCAGAGGAGGAAGAGUUUCUGGAAGAGGAAGAUUAUCCAGAGGAGGAAGAGUUUCUGGAGGAGGAAGAAUAUCCAGAGGAGGAAGAGUCUCUGGAGAGAUAUAAGUUUCUGGAGGGAGAAUAUCAUCUGAAAGGAAAAGAUCUUUUUAAAGAAGAGGACCUGGAGGAGGAAAUGCAUGUGGCAGAAAAAGAGUAUCCUUUCAAACAGUAUCUGGAACCAAUAGAAUUUGAGGAGCCUGAUUCAACAGCAAUUGUGACUAAUCUUGAUGCAAGGAGCUCAACUGCCAGUACUUUUCAGGAGAGUGGUUUUAUUACCAUCCCAUCUAUCUUCACUACCCCUGCUCCUGCCUCUGAGACUGCCAUCGAGUCUGCCAUGGAGUCGACUUCCUGCUGCCUGAUGGUUCCUACACCUUCCCUAAGACACCAGGCUAGUCAGACAGAAUGGACCUAUGAGGGAACAUCCUCAAAAUUGAAACCAAAAACAGAGCCAAGAAUCUCAUUACUGUCCACUAUGAAGUCUGAUUUGGAAGAUGACGCUGAAAUGGAGGAAGAUGGAGAUGAUGCCAUGGAUAUUUACAAAAAAACCUUUUGGGAUUCCCUACUGACGGAGCAGGAAAUUGACAAAGAGGAAGUCAAGAAAUUUCAUGAGAAUAGCAGGACUGAAGCACUACAGCUGGGAUGUGAAGGCAACCACUCAUGCAAGCCAAUUAUGAAGCACGUUUUGAAACUCUGGACGCACGUAGUACUGCUGUAGGGCCCAACUGACAAAGUAUGACACAAAAUAGAAUCCUUUCCCUCUGACUUCCAUGCCACUCUGACCCUCAAGAAGUGGACACUCAGGGUACUGAGGCAGCCCCUGAGGCAGAGACUCCAGAAUUCUCAGGCAUGACCAGAAAGAGAUACCUGACGCAGGCUACUUAAGAAAUAAAAGGAGGUUCAUUUUGGUUCAUCACCCUGGAGUUUUAACUCCAAGAUCCCAGCUUUGUUGGUUUGGGCUCCAGCAAAAGCAGCACAUCAUGGCAGGAUGGCAUGUCAGAGUGGGCAGCCACAUCUUGAGGCAGGAAGCAAAAAGAGAGAGGGGAAGAGAUAGGCUCCCGUCAUCCUCUUAGAGAGCACUCCUCCAGUGACCUAAAGACCUUCUACCAAGCCCUGUCUCACCUUUGCUGCAACCACGAGACACAGCAAGCCCUCAACACAUGGACCUGUGGAGGACGUGCACACCCAAACCACAGCAGAUAGUAGUGUGGCCGCUCCAAGCAACCUGGUCACUGCAGAUGCAGCCCGGCAGAGCCACAGCAGGAGAAAGAGAACGCGAUGAAUGCCACAUUGUACCUGCAGCCGCAACACUUGUUUGCAUAAAUUGCUGAGGCACCUUUUGUGGCAAUACCAGAAAGCUGUAGGGUACAAACUAGGAAGAGGGACCUAAAGCCUUUCUAUUUGCAGGUGGCUUUCAAGAUAUACUUUGCUAUUUUGAUAACUCGAUUCAUUGGCUGUCUUUAGUUCACUGUCACACCCAUUUUUAUUCCUGUGAUACACUCAUGUAUCACAAGCCUCACUGUGCAUGCAAAUUCCUUUGGCUGCAGCAGUCAGUGCUUCCCCUGAGAGGGAUCUCUGAGCAUGGGAG